rnacentral:rRNA from 1 species
GACGUAGGGCGCGAGCGUUGUCCGGAAUUAUUGGGCGUAAAGGGCUCGUAGGCGGUCUGUUGCGUCAGGAGUGAAAACUCGGGGCUUAACCCCGAGCCUGCUUCUGAUACGGGCAGACUAGAGGUAUGCAGGGGAGAACGGAAUUCCUGGUGUAGCGGUGAAAUGCGUAGAUAUCAGGAGGAACACCGGUGGUGUAGACGGCUAUCUGGACCGUAACUGACGCUGAGGCACGAAAGCGUGGGUAGCAAACAGG